rnacentral:rRNA from 1 species
UAAGGAAUAUUGGGCAAUGGACGCAAGUCUGACCCAGCCAUGCCGCGUGAAGGAUGAAUGUCCUAUGGAUUGUAAACUUCUUUUAUGCAGGAAAAAUAUCCCGGUCGUGAACCGGGACUGAUGGUACUGUAUGAAUAAGCAUCGGCUAACUCCGUGCCAGCAGCCGCGGUAAUACGGAGGAUGCAAGCGUUAUCCGGAUUCAUUGGGUUUAAAGGGUGCGCAGGCGGAAUGAUAAGUCAGUGGUGAAAUCUCCCGGCUCAACCGGGAAACUGCCAUUGAUACUGUCGUUCUUGAGUACAGUUGAAGUGGGCGGAAUGUGUCAUGUAGCGGUGAAAUGCUUAGAUAUGACACAGAACACCGAUAGUGAAGACAGCUCACUAAGCUGUAACUGACGCUCAUGCACGAAAGCGUGGGGAUCAAACAGG